UGCGUAGGCGGGCUAAUAAGUCAGUGGUGAAAUCUCUCGGCUCAACCGGGAAACUGCCAUUGAUACUGUUAGUCUUGAGUUCGGUUGAGGUAGGCGGAAUGUGUAAUGUAGCGGUGAAAUGCUUAGAUAUUACACAGAACACCAAUUGCGUAGGCAGCUUACUAGACCGAAACUGACGCUGAGGCACGAAAGCGUGGGUAGCGAACAGGAUUAGAUACCCUGGUAGUCC
rnacentral:rRNA from 1 species